GACGAACGCUGGCGGCGUGCCUAAUACAUGCAAGUCGAGCGAAUCAAUAGGAGCUUGCUCCUGUUGGUUAGCGGCGGACGGGUGAGUAACACGUGGGCAACCUGCCUGUAAGACUGGAAUAACCCCGGGAAACCGGGGCUAAUGCCGGAUACUCUCGUUGGAUCGCAUGGUCCGGCGAGGAAAGUUCCGACGGUCUGGGAGGGGCCCGCGGCCUAUCAGCUUGUUGGCGGGGUAACGGCCCACCAAGGCGACGACGGGUAGCUGGCGUGAGAGCGUGGCCAGCCACACUGGGACUGAGACACGGCCCAGACUCCUACGGGAGGCAGCAGUGGGGAAUCUUGCGCAAUGGGCGAAAGCCUGACGCAGCGACGCCGCGUGGGGGAUGAAGGCCUUCGGGUUGUAAACCCCUUUCGGCAGGGAAGAAGCGAAAGUGACGGUACCUGCAGAAGAAGCCCCGGCUAACUACGUGCCAGCCGCCGCGGUAACAC
rnacentral:rRNA from 1 species